CAGGAAGAAGCGAAAGUGACGGUACCNNCAGAAAAAGCGCCGGNNUAAUUACGUGCCAGCAGCCGCGGUAAUACGUAGGGCGCAAGCGUUAUCCGGAAUUAUUGGGCGUAAAGAGCUCGUAGGCGGUUUGUCGCGUCUGCUGUGAAAUCCCGAGGCUCAACCUCGGGGCCUGCAGUGGGUACGGGCAGACUAGAGUGCGGUAGGGGAGAUUGGAAUUCCUGGUGUAGCGGUGGAAUGCGCAGAUAUCAGGAGGAACACCGAUGGCGAAGGCAGAUCUCUGGGCCGUAACUGACGCUGAGGAGCGAAAGGGUGGGGAGCAAACAGGCUUAGAUACCCUGGUAGUCCACCCCGUAAACGUUGGGAACUAGUUGUGGGGUCCAUUCCACGGAUUCCGUGACGCAGCUAACGCAUUAAGUUCCCCGCCUGGGGAGUACGGCCGCAAGGCUAAAACUCAAAGGAAUUGACGGGGACCCGCACAAGCGGCGGAGCAUGCGGAUUAAUUCGAUGCAACGCGAAGAACCUUACCAAGGCUUGACAUAUACGAGAACGGGCCAGAAAUGGUCAACUCUUUGGACACUCGUAAACAGGUGGUGCAUGGUUGUCGUCAGCUCGUGUCGUGAGAUGUUGGGUUAAGUCCCGCAACGAGCGCAACCCUCGUUCUAUGUUGCCAGCACGUAAUGGUGGGAACUCAUGGGAUACUGCCGGGGUCAACUCGGAGGAAGGUGGGGAUGACGUCAAAUCAUCAUGCCCCUUAUGUCUUGGGCUUCACGCAUGCUACAAUGGCCGGUACAAAGGGCUGCAAUACCGCGAGGUGGAGCGAAUCCCAAAAAGCCGGUCCCAGUUCGGAUUGAGGUCUGCAACUCGACCUCNNGNAAGU
rnacentral:rRNA from 1 species